CCUACGGGAGGCAGCAGUGGGGAAUAUUGGACAAUGGGGGCAACCCUGAUCCAGCCAUGCCGCGUGUGUGAAGAAGGCCCUCGGGUUGCAAAGCACUUUCAGUGAGGAAGAACGCCUGGUGGUUAAUACCCAUCAGGAAAGACAUCACUCACAGAAGAAGCACCGGCUAACUCCGUGCCAGCAGCCGCGGUAAUACGGAGGGUGCGAGCGUUAAUCGGAAUUACUGGGCGUAAAGCGCGCGUAGGUGGCUUGAUAAGCCGGUUGUGAAAGCCCCGGGCUCAACCUGGGAACGGCAUCCGGAACUGUCAAGCUAGAGUGCAGGAGAGGAAGGUAGAAUUCCCGGUGUAGCGGUGAAAUGCGUAGAGAUCGGGAGGAAUACCAGUGGCGAAGGCGGCCUUCUGGACUGACACUGACACUGAGGUGCGAAAGCGUGGGUAGCAAACAGGAUUAGAUACCCUGGUAGUC
rnacentral:rRNA from 1 species